rnacentral:rRNA from 1 species
AACGAACGCUGGCGGCAGGCCUAACACAUGCAAGUCGAGCGCCCCGCAAGGGGAGCGGCGGACGGGUGAGUAACGCGUGGGAACGUACCCUUUGCUACGGAAUAGCCUCGGGAAACUGGGAGUAAUACCGUAUGUGCCCUUCGGGGAAAGAUUUAUCGGCAAAGGAUCGGCCCGCGUUGGAUUAGGUAGUUGGUGGGGUAAUGGCCUACCAAGCCGACGAUCCAUAGCUGGUUUGAGAGGAUGAUCAGCCACACUGGGACUGAGACACGGCCCAGACUCCUACGGGAGGCAGCAGUGGGGAAUCUUAGACAAUGGGCGCAAGCCUGAUCUAGCCAUGCCGCGUGAGCGAUGAAGGCCUUAGGGUUGUAAAGCUCUUUCAGUGGGGAAGAUAAUGACUGUACCCACAGAAGAAGCCCGGCUAACUCCGUG